GACGAACGCUGGCGGUGUGCUUAACACAUGCAAGUCGAGCGACGAACCCGUGCUUGCUUUGGGGCAAAGCCGCGAACGGGUGAGUAACACGUGUGUAUUCUACCCCGCUGACCGGGACAACCCGAGGAAACUCGGGCUAAUACCGGACGUGGUGCGUAGACAUAAGUCUUUUCACUAAGGGUAGCUUCGUCUUUCGCAUUGGGAGGGCCCCGCAGCCCCUUGGCUUGUUGGUGGGGUCAAGGCCUGCCAAGGCAACGUUGGGUAGCUGGUGUGAUAGGACGAUCGGCCACCCUGGGAGUGAGACAGGGCCCAGACUCCUGCGGGAGGCAGCAGUCGGGAAUCUUGCGCAAUGCGCGAGAGCGUUACGCAGCAACACCGCGUGAGGGACGAAGGCCUUAGGGUUGGAAAGCUCUUUAAGAUGGGACGAAGGUCAUCCGGUGGAUAGCCGAGGGGAUUGACGGUACCGGGAGAAGAAGCGCCGGCUAACUACGUG
rnacentral:rRNA from 1 species